UACGUAGGUGGCAAGCGUUAUCCGGAUUUAUUGGGCGUAAAGGGAACGCAGGCGGUCUUUUAAGUCUGAUGUGAAAGCCUUCGGCUUAACCGGAGUAGUGCAUUGGAAACUGGGAGACUUGAGUGCAGAAGAGGAGAGGGGAACUCCAUGUGUAGCGGUGAAAUGCGUAGAUAUAUGGAAGAACACCAGUGGCGAAAGCGGCUCUCUGGUCUGUAACUGACGCUGAGGUUCGAAAGCGUGGGUAGCAAACAGG
rnacentral:rRNA from 1 species